UAUCCAAAAGUCAGCUUGGGCUCUACCUUAGCCACCUUAGAGAUACUCCACUCCUGGCAUGGUCAAAUUAGAACCUUAUUUUGAUUUUUCCUUAUCUAUAUCUCAGUCAUAAUACCAGAGUACCUCCUGUUCCUAAAGUCAAAUUCCUAAGGAUCAUUCCUGAUUUCCCUCUUCAUUUUGCUCCUCUCUACUCCCAAAUUAAACUGCCAAUGCUGUCUCUACCACCUACAAGGUAUGACUUAGAUUUAUCUAUUUUGUAUAUCACAUCUAUUGGAGUUCCCCUUGUGGCUCAGUGGUAAUGAACCCUGCUAGUAACCAUGAGGAUGCAGGUUUGAUCCCUGGCCUCCCUCAGUGGGUUAAAGAUCUGGCGUUGCUGUGGCUGUGGUGUGGCUCACAGACGUGGCUCAGCUCCCAUGUUGCUCUGGCUGUGGCAUGGGCUGGCAGCUGCAGCCCCAUUUCUGGAAAUGGAAGGGGUGAAUGAAGGGAUGUGAGAGUUCCUCUGACGUUGGACAGUAUAGACCUGCUUAUUACAGAGGACUCUGUUCUGAGCUGGACCCAAGGUCUGACCUGUGACAUUAACACUGUGAAUCUCACAGGGGUUCCUCAAGCACCUUCUCCUUGAAGUCACUGAAUUUGGGAGGAUGUAUUCCGGGGAAGCAAUGUGCCCCCUGCUCUCAGCUCUACUUCUACUUUAGACUCUGUAGAGCCUGCCCCCUGCCUGCCACACCAGCAGCUUUCCCACCAUGCUCCCUGUUCUCAGGGUCACUUACCUGGCCACGCUGGCUUCCAUUUAAUCUCUUGUAUGAACAGGGCAAUUCCAACCUUAGGGACCUUGUGCUAGAUGUUCUCUCUGCCUAGAAUGAUUUUUCCGGAGGCUCGGCAGGGCCAGUUCCUUAGUCUGUAUUUUCAUCUUCUCCUAGACAUCUGUGCUGAUUACCUGGCCUAAAGGAACCUCUCCCACGAUCCAUCACAACAUGAUUGUUGUUUCAUUCUUACGCAUUUUUGCUUUUUAGGGCUGCAGCCGCAGCAUAUGGAAGUUCCGAGGUGAGGGGCUGUUGCAUCAGAGCUGCAGCUGCCGGCCUACACCACAGCCACAGCGAUGUGGAAUCUGACCUGUGUCUGCUACCUAUUACCACAGCUCAUGGCAAUGCUGGAUCCUUCACCCACUGAGUGAGGCCAGGGUUUGAACUGGCAUCCUCAUGGAUCCUAGCUGGGAUUGUUAACUGCUGAGCCAUGAAGGGAACUCCAAAUCUAUUAUCUUUUUAAUUUGUGUUUGGCUAUGCUUACUCUAUGACACUGUGCUCUAGAAGCCACGAUCCAAAAGGCAGGGCUUGGCCUGAUCCCCCUGGUAUCCAGCACAAUGUCUGGCAGGGGUUAAGUACACACCAUAAACACGUGGCAUCCAUAACAACACAUCAUGUGAUUAAACAUUAGCAGCUGGCACUGCCUGUUUAAUAAAAAGUGUUAUUAACUAUUCAGAUUUCUCUUUAUAGUUUUCCUAUUUUAAUAAAAUGUCCUCAUUAUCUUCUUUUUUUUUAAACUGAAACCCAUGCCUUUCUCUUUCCACAUUCAUAUGGCAUAGAACCCACUGCAAGAGAAAAGGUAAUUUAUUUGAGCAAAUGCGGGUCCAAUUCACUUUCAGAAAAUCUGUGCUUAUUAUGCACAUCAAAAAAGCAUAGGCAUUCUCAUUUUCUCCAUUUCAGACCACUUUUUUUUUUUCAUCUUAUAUUUGGAGGAAGACAGGAUCAUAAUCCAUGGCAUUUGAGAUUCUUCAUCUCUCAAAGCAUGUUUCCCACCCAUGAUUUUCUCAUGUGUUCCCUCCCUGAUACACCUGUCUGCCAGUGUCCAACUGCUCCUUCAAAAUCCUCCUCAAAUCCUGAUGCUUCUGUGAAGCCCUCUGUCCACUUUUUGUGCAUUUUAUACCUGGACCCUUUAUGCCUGUGAAUGGUAGUUAGCUGGUCACAUGGCUAUGCAGUAGGACAUAUUUUGUGGUGAACCUAAAUGAUUUUCUUUCCCAGUAAUUCCUCUUUCACUCAUAAAAACUAAACUUAAAGUAGAGACUGUGGCCUCAGGGAAUGAACAUGGCAGUUAAAGAACAGAAGGAAAAUACUAGAAAAUUGUUCCUUGGUUUUCUAAAAUGGCUUUUGAAACUCUGCGUAGACAGUAAUUUGAGACCAAAAGGUUUUGCAACUCAAAAAUCUAAGUGUAUAAACACAUGAGCAAAAUCAGGAAUAAGCGAAUGUGCUUUGAGAUAUUCAGGGACAGAUGAAGAGUCUUGAAUGUUCAGAGCAUGGUGUUCCCAGGGUGGGUACACUGGCUCCAACUUGUUCUUCCCAUUCAGUUUGAGUUCACAGAUGGAUAAGACCACAUCUUAUCCACCACCCUACUGUCAGGGCCUCGGAUGAAAUCUAGCAUCGAGCACAGACUUGGUAAGUAUGUUAAACUGAUCUGAAUGAUUAUAGCAUCUAGAUUAUUUACUUAUCAAAAAUCUUCCAGCAGAAAAUAAACAUUUAAAUACUAUCCUGGAAAGAAACUGGAAGGUAAUACAUGUUUACUGUCUAAGAACCUGUCCUGAAACUGAGUUGAAAGGAAUUGGUAUGCUCUGUAUUUUACCUUCAGGGUAAAUCAGUUUCAUUAACUUGUGGGCCCCACCAUCCAAUUCUGGUAUAUACAACAAUUUGUAAGCAUUUUACCUAACAGCUGUUAAUGUACACAUUCUAAUAUGCUUCCUUCAGACAUCUGUGUUAUUUCCUUGUCUAGGAGGGAAGGUUACAACCAUCUUUUUAUGUUUUUGGAAGCUUUGGUGGCACACAAAUAAAAUGCAUGAAGAAAACAGGCUAUUUAUUACUCCUCCUCUCAACCCAUGCACUCCUUUAAAUGCCAGAAAAUCCAAAAGUUCAUGGACUAGACUUAAUUAAAGACUCUUAGCCCCCAUGGUACAAGAUUAUUUCCAAUCACAUCAAAUCCACUUCAUAAAUAUGAGUAUUUCCCUCUAUGAACAUUUAUAGUAUUUUAUGGUUUUAUAUUAGAACUCACCUAUCAUGAAGACUGUUUUAUAAUGACCAUCACACCACCAGUGAGAGUAAUAAUAAUAUUACUCAUUAUAGUUUAUUUUUUAAAACCAUCUAUUUUUCUUGGGGGAAUUGCAUAAACUGAGUUCAUUUUGUUAAAAAUUUCAUACGGCUUAUGAACUAGGGUCCCAGGUGAUUUGAGCAAUUUCCUUCCCUUUCACGAGAUAAUUUUCCUUCUUCUACACCAAAGUAACAAUGCUAUGAAUGGCCUAACAUUUAUGAAUAAACAUGUGUGUUCAAUUUUUCUUUUUAUGCCAAGAAAUAAAACAAUGGGCCACAUCUUAAUUUUAAAAAUGGUUAUAUUUUAUUUUCAACAGCAUGCUGCUAUCUCCUGGUAGAGUAUAUUCUUCUUACUUGCAAUAUGCAAUGGAAAAUUUGCAGUCCGUGGACACUACCCAGCGCAUACAGGGAAGUCUAUUGACAAUUCUUCAUUUUCAAAAAUCCUAAAAAAUCCUUACUUGGGGGAGUUCCCAUAGUGGCACAGUGGAAAUGAAUCUGAGUAGUAUCCAGGAGGAUUUGGGUUGAUCCCUGGCAGUGCUCAGUGGGUUGGGGAUCUGGCAUUGCCGUGAGCUGUGGCAUAGGUUGCAGACAUGGCCCAGAUCCUGAGUGGCUGUGGCUGUGGUGUAGGCUGGCAGCUGUAGUUCUGAUUCAACCCAUAGCCUGGGAACUUCUGUAUGCUGCAGGUGCAUCCCUAAAACAACAACAACAACAAAAUCCUUACCUGGACUGUUUAAGUUCCUGGGUUGGCAUUCACGCUAAUUGUGGAUCAAACUCAAAAUGAAUGUCCACUUCAAAGGACUCACCCCUGUGAUUUGUGAGAGGGUGGUACUUGGUCUGAACAACUUCCACAGACAACUGUGAUAGCCAUCCUAGCGUGCUCUUGUCAAGUGGGCAAUGAUAUUUUCCUCUAGUCAGAAAAGAUCUCAGAGUUCCCCCAGUGGUGCAGUGGGUUAAGAAUCCAAUCGCAGAGGCUCAGGUCACUGCAGAGGUGUGAGUUUGAUCCCAGGCUCCUUGCAGUGCAUCAAAGGAUCAACACUGCCACAUCCAUGGCAUAGAUUGCAGCUAUGGCUCAGAUUUGAUUCCUGGCCCACCUGAGAAGUUCCAUAUGACAUGGGUAGGGCCAUUAAAAAAGCAAAAAAGGAAAGUUUUGUCUGGAUAUACGCCUAAGAGUGGGAUUACUAGGACAUAUGUUAGUUCUAUGUAUAGUUUUCUAAAGUACCUCCAUAUACUGUUUUCUGUAGUGGUUGUAAAAACUUAUAUUCCCACCAACAGUGCAGGAGGGUUCCCUUUUCUCCACACCCCCUCCAGCAUUUGUUAUUUGUGGACUUAUUAAUGAUGGCCAUUCUGACUGGUGUGAACAGAACACUGUAAACCAGCUAAAAUGGAAAAAAAUAUAUAAAUAUAUAAGUAAAAAAGCAAAAAAAAAAAAAAGUAUCACCAUUUGGAAGAGCCUCUGGGGAACUUGCUUCAGAAAUGCCCUUUUCCACUCUCUGAUUUUGCCACUGUCUUGCCUAUCCAUUGCCUAUCACAGGGUCUAAGCUUUUCCCAAGAUGCAGCUGGUCCCUGUCAUUCAGUCUCCCUGCCAGAGUAAGAGAUGGCAGAUGGCUACAGUGAGGAUGAGAGACAGCUCGCCUACACAGAAGACAUCACCAGCUGAUCUGGAUCUGGGAGGGACCGUAAUUCCUGAGAGCUUGAGAGGUUACUAGAGUCCAAGAGGGAGAAUGUGGUGGAUGGAAACAAAAAUCAGGAAACAAAUUGAAACAGGAGGAUAGUUUAAAAUGCAAGUUACUGGAGGUCACUGAAUUAAUGUUUUCACUUUAAUGAUUAAAAUAAUAAUGAUAACAGCUGAGGGAGAGGAAACGACUUGCUCAGGGGCAGCACACAGAUGGCGGCGGUGCUGAGACAAGGGCCUUCUGGUGACUAACGUAGGGUUCUUUACAUUUUUCCACAAUUUUAUCCUGGUUUGAAAAUAUUUCAUAUUUUCCAGUUAACUAUAAAAAAGAUAUUGUACAGAAAUUACCAUCCUGGUUAUUUCUGAAAUAAUUUCCAGCAUGUUAUCAAAAAAGGAAAACGACUGAACAAUUCAUUCUUGCAUUGCUUUGUGGAGGAAAGAAGCUUAAAUGCUGUAUUUUAAUACAAAAGAUUGCCCAAAGAGGUGUUGCAUUAUACAGUAAGUGCCACAAGAAGAUUAACUACCAUGCAGCCUGCACCUCGAGCAGGGAAACUCAAUGAUUUCUAUAUAAAACUCAUAAAUGAAAGUGUUCAUUUAUUCAUGAUAUUCUAACAUAUUCGUUCUGUUUUUCUAAGACAAGCAAUGCAUGGCCUUUUAGUUUUAUGCCAUUACUUAAAAUAUUUGAAGAAAAUUGUUCAUCAAUCUCUGAUUCUAUUAUUACACUCAAGAGUAGGUUAAUUACUAUCUCCUGGGGUCAUUUAUAGCAGGAAAUAUUUAAUGGAUUGCUACCAGGGCAUGUGAUCAUGGCAGAGAAGACCUGACUUACAGUUGCUAAAAGAUGACUGAUGUGAAUUAUUUACAGAACACAGGGUG
rnacentral:lncRNA from 1 species